rnacentral:tRNA from 1 species
ACCAUUAAAGUUUAGUAAAACAAAGGCUUUUCAAGCCUUAGACCCAGGCUAAAACCCUGGUAAUAGUU